UACAGAGGUGGCGAGCGUUGUUCGGAUUUACUGGGCGUAAAGGGCGCGUAGGCGGUUCUGUGUGUCGGAUGUGAAAUCCCACUGCUCAACGGUGGAACGGCAUUCGAAACUACAGGACUUGAGUGCAGGAAGGGAGAGCGGAAUUCUCGGUGUAGCGGUGAAAUGCGUUGAUAUCGAGAGGAACACCGGUGGCGAAGGCGGCUCUCUGGAAUGCAACUGACGCUGAGGCACGAAAGCAAGGGGAG
rnacentral:rRNA from 1 species